UUUGUGUCGGAGCCGGACGGGCGGCCGCGCGCGGGGUCAUUCUCUCAACGUGUUGGGGACCCGGACCUGCGUGCUCACCCAUUAUUACUGUGCAAGAGAAAAGUAUUUCUUCUUAUUGGACAGCUGACCUCUGACGUCCAUUUUGCUACUCCUUAGCAUUUUGCACCUCAACCCUGCACACGUCCUGGUAGCUCCACUUGAUCUGCAGAAACCACAACGAUGGAGAAACUAACUAGGGCAGAAGAGGAAUCACUGAAGAUUAGCCCUGAGCUGACAUCUGUGACCAUCUUCCUCUACUUUAUAUGUGGGACGCCUGCCACAGCAUGGCCUGAGAAGCGGUGCGGAGGUCCGUGUCUGGAAUCCAAACCGAUGAACCCCAGGCCACAGCAGAAUGUGCAAACUUAACCGCUACGCCACCAGGCCAGCCCUUCAACUAAUUUUCACAUCAUGUGAAUCCUUGGCUUGUUUGUAUUGUAUUUGGAAAGUUAAUAUUCCAGUUUAGGAAGUCAGAGCUUCUAUGAUUUGGGGGGGGAUUAUAGUUAAACUGAAUGUCAAGCUUAUAGUUAAGGAUCUAAGGCCAUUUGACUAACUCUUUGUGUUAAUAGAUCUUUUUCCCCUAAUCAUACUUUUUGAGUCUUUACCUAUUCAUUUAUGUUUGAAGUUUCUACCUUUCAACCACUUACACUGUUCUGAGCCGAUUCCCAGGCUAAUCGUAAUGUUGGCUGGUGUGGCCCUUACCUAUAAUGAGAGGAGUUUAGGCCACCAGUGCUGGAAGAUACUUUAGCAGUCAAGUUCACAAGCUGGUUCAUGGGAGAGCUGAGGUAACUUGGAGAGGGAGUGUAGUUUUGUACUUAAUACUGUAGUUUUUGGAGUCAGGCUUUUUGGGAUCAAAUCUCAGCUCUGCCACUCACUGUGUGACUGUAGCCAGUUACUUAACUAGUAAAAUGGGCAUAAUAAAG